GAUGAACGCUGGCGGCGUGCCUAAUACAUGCAAGUCGAGCGAACAGACGAGGAGCUUGCUCCUCUGACGUUAGCGGCGGACGGGUGAGUAACACGUGGAUAACCUACCUAUAAGACUGGGAUAACUUCGGGAAACCGGAGCUAAUACCGGAUAAUAUAUUGAACCGCAUGGUUCAAUAGUGAAAGACGGUUUUGCUGUCACUUCUAGAUGGAUCCGCGCCGCAUUAGCUAGUUGGUAAGGUAACGGCUUACCAAGGCAACGAUGCGUAGCCGACCUGAGAGGGUGAUCGGCCACACUGGAACUGAGACACGUUCCAGACUCCUACGGGAGGCAGCAGUAGGGAAUCUUCCGCAAUGGGCGAAAGCUUGACGGAGCAACGCCGCGUGAGUGAUGAAGGUCUUCGGAUCGUAAAACUCUGUUAUUAGGGAAGAACAAAUGUGUAAGUAACUAUGCACGUCUUGACGGUACCUAAUCAGAAAGCCACGGCUAACUACGUG
rnacentral:rRNA from 1 species